AGUGAACGCUGGCGGUAGGCCUAACACAUGCAAGUCGAACGGCAGCACAGGAGAGCUUGCUCUCUGGGUGGCGAGUGGCGGACGGGUGAGGAAUACAUCGGAAUCUACCUUUUCGUGGGGGAUAACGUAGGGAAACUUACGCCAAUACCGCAUACGACCUACGGGUGAAAGUGGGGGACCGCAAGGCCUCACGCGAUUAGAUGAGCCGAUGUCCGAGUAGCUAGUUGGCGGGGUAAUGGCCCACCAAGGCGACGAUCGGUAGCUGGUCUGAGAGGAUGGUCAGCCACACUGGAACUGAGACACGGUCCAGACUCCUACGGGAGGCAGCAGUGGGGAAUAUUGGACAAUGGGCGCAAGCCUGAUCCAGCCAUACCGCGUGGGUGAAGAAGGCCUUCGGGUUGUAAAGCCCUUUUGUUGGGAAAGAAAUCCUGUCGAUUAAUACUCGGUGGGGAUGACGGUACCCAAAGAAUAAGCACCGGCUAACUUCGUGCCAGCCGCCGCCGUAACAC
rnacentral:rRNA from 1 species